ACACUCUGUGGUGCUGUAGUUUUUUUAGGUUUUGAUUUUUGUAUGCUGGAUGAGAAAAUCAAGACCUAAAGAAAAUCCAGCGCUG
rnacentral:miRNA from 10 species